rnacentral:lncRNA from 1 species
GGUUCUCAAUUUUGGAUGUGCAUAAAAACACUUCUGUAGUGAUUUUAAAUGAAAGUGCCUGGUCUCAACUAACACCUGCUGAACCAGAAUUGCCACGGUUUGGGUUUGAGAAUCUGUUUUUUUGUUUUUGCUUUUAUAAGUUUCAGAAGCAAAAGUGAGGGUCGCUGGUUUGCAGGUGAUUGAAGGGUUUGGCCACCUGUGGGCCAUGAUGUCAUUGUUGUUGGUGGUGGUAAUGGUGAGGUUGGGGCUGUGAUGUCGUUGUCAUUGGUGGUAGUGAUGGUGAGGUCGGGGCUGUGAUGUCAUUGUCAUUGGUGGUGGUGAUGGUGAGGUCAGGGCUGUAGUGUUGUCAUUGGUGGUGGUGAUGGUGAGGUCAG